ACCAGCCAAGGAGUCUCAAAUAGGACGAAACGCGCGUCCUAGAU
rnacentral:hammerhead_ribozyme from 1 species